GACGAACGCUGGCGGCGUGCUUAACACAUGCAAGUCGAACGGUGAAAGCGGAGCUUGCUCCGCUGGAUCAGUGGCGAACGGGUGAGUAACACGUGGGCAACCUGCCCCUCACUUCGGGAUAACUCCGGGAAACCGGGGCUAAUACCGGAUAUGACCUCCUUGGGCAUCCUUGGAGGUGGAAAGUUUUUCGGUGAGGGAUGGGCCCGCGGCCUAUCAGCUUGUUGGUGAGGUAGUGGCUCACCAAGGCGGCGACGGGUAGCCGGCCUGAGAGGGCGACUGGCCACACUGGGACUGAGACACGGCCCAGACUCCUACGGGAGGCAGCAGUGGGGAAUAUUGCGCAAUGGGCGAAAGCCUGACGCAGCAACGCCGCGUGCGGGAUGACGGCCUUCGGGUUGUAAACCGCUUUCAGCAGGGAAGAAGCCGCAAGGUGACGGUACCUGCAGAAGAAGCACCGGCUAACUACGUGCCAGCCGCCGCAGUAAGAC
rnacentral:rRNA from 1 species